rnacentral:rRNA from 1 species
GUUGCGGAGUUGCCGUAGCUACGGCGAGUGAGCGGCAACAGCUCAAAUUUGAAAGCUAGCCUUCGGGUUCGCAUUGUAAUUUGUAGAGGAUGAUUUGGGGAAGCCGCCUGUCUAAGUUCCUUGGAACAGGACGUCAUAGAGGGUGAGAAUCCCGUAUGUGACAGGAAAUGGCACCCUAUGUAAAUCUCCUUCGACGAGUCGAGUUGUUUGGGAAUGCAGCUCUAAAUGGGAGGUAAAUUUCUUCUAAAGCUAAAUAUUGGCGAGAGACCGAUAGCGCACAAGUAGAGUGAUCGAAAGAUGAAAAGCACUUUGGAAAGAGAGUUAAAAAGCACGUGAAAUUGUUGAAAGGGAAGCGCUCGCAAUCAGACUUGUUUAAACUGUUCGGCCGGUCUUCUGACCGGUUUACUCAGUUUGGACAGGCCAGCAUCAGUUUCGGCGGCCGGAUAAAGGCUCUGGGAAUGUGGCCUCCACUUCGGUGGAGGUGUUAUAGCCCAGGGUGUAAUACGGCCAGCCGGGACUGAGGUCCGCGCUUCGGCUAGGAUGCUGGCGUAAUGGUUGUAAGCGACCCGUCUUGAAACACGGACCCAAA